GCUUCCUUGGUCUAGUCGGUUAUGACGUCGGUCUCAUACUUCUCCUGCAUGAUUUAGCUUUGCUAAAGCCAUCCGAAGGUCGCCAGUUCGAUUCUGGCAGGGAGCA